UGCUAGUGUCUGAUUCUGCCUUUCCCAUG
rnacentral:piRNA from 1 species